rnacentral:rRNA from 1 species
UGGGGAAUAUUGCGCAAUGGGCGGAAGCCUGACGCAGCGACGCCGCGUGGGGGAUGAAGGCCUUCGGGUUGUAAACCUCUUUUACCACUCACGAAGGCCCCUGGUUUUCUGGGGGUUGACGGUAGGUGGUGAAUAAGGACCGGCUAACUACGUGCCAGCAGCCGCGGUAAUACGUAGGGUCCGAGCGUUGUCCGGAAUUAUUGGGCGUAAAGAGCUCGUAGGCGGCCUGUCGCGUCUGCUGUGAAAGUCCGGGGCUUAACUCCGGGUGUGCAGUGGAUACGGGCAGGCUUGAGGUAGGCAGGGGAGACUGGAAUUCCUGGUGUAGCGGUGAAAUGCGCAGAUAUCAGGAGGAACACCGGUGGCGAAGGCGGGUCUCUGGGCCUUACCUGACGCUGAGGAGCGAAAGCGUGGGGAGCGAACA